rnacentral:rRNA from 1 species
UACGUAGGGUGCGAGCGUUAAUCGGAAUUACUGGGCGUAAAGCGUGCGCAGGCGGCUUUGCAAGACAGAUGUGAAAUCCCCGGGCUCAACCUGGGAACUGCAUUUGUGACUGCAGGGCUAGAGUACGGCAGAGGGGGAUGGAAUUCCGCGUGUAGCAGUGAAAUGCGUAGAUAUGCGGAGGAACACCAAUGGCGAAGGCAAUCCCCUGGGCCUGUACUGACGCUCAUGCACGAAAGCGUGGGGAGCAAACAGG